CCCUUAGAUGUCCUGGGCCGCACGCGCGCUACACUGAUGCAUUCAACGAGUGUACCUUGGCCGAGAGGCCUGGGCAAUCUUUUGAACGUGCAUCGUGAUAGGGAUAGAUUAUUGCAAUUAUUAAUCUUGAACGAGGAAUUCCUAGUAAACGCAGAUCAUCAAUCUGCAUUGAUUACGUCCCUGCCCUUUGUACACACCGCCCGUCGCACCUACCGAUUGGAUGGUCCGGUGAAGCCUCGGGAUUGUGGCGGUUGCCUUUAUUGGUGGCCGCCGCGAGAACUUGUCUAAACCUUAUCAUCUAGAGGAAGGUGAAGUCGUAACA
rnacentral:rRNA from 1 species